AUAUGUCCCAUCCAUCCCUAUGUGCCAUCCCAUCCCUAUGUGUCCCAUUCCAUCUCCUAUCGAUCCCAUCCCAUUCCUAUAUUGUUCAUCCAUCCCUAUAUGUCCCAUCCAUCUUCCUAUAGAUCCCAUCCAUCCCUAUGUGUCCCAUCCAUCCCCUAUGUUUCCCUUCCAUCCCUAUGGGUCCCAUCCUUCCCCUAUAGAUCCCAUCCAUCCCUAUGUGUCCCAUCCAUCCCCUAUGUGUCCCAUCCAUCCCUAUGGGUCCCAUUCAUCCCUUAUAGAUCCAUCCAUCCCUAAUGGGUCCCAUGCCAUGUGCCCUAUGUGUCCCUUCAUCCCUAUAAGACUCCAUCCAUCCCUAUAGAUCCCAUCCAUCUCCUCCUAGAUCCCAUCCAUCCC
rnacentral:lncRNA from 1 species